GAAGGUGGCCUGUGAGGGUUGCUGGAGGUAUCAGAAGUGCGAAUGCUGACAUAAGUAACGAUAAAGCGGGUGAAAAGCCCGCUCGCCGGAAGACCAAGGGUUCCUGUCCAACGUUAAUCGGGGCAGGGUGAGUCGACCCCUAAGGCGAGGCCGAAAGGCGUAGUCGAUGGGAAACAGGUUAAUAUUCCUGUACUUGGUGUUACUGCGAAGGGGGGACGGAGAAGGCUAUGUUGGCCGGGCGACGGUUGUCCCGGUUUAAGCGUGUAGGCUGGUUUUCCAGGCAAAUCCGGAAAACCAAGGCUGAGGCGUGAUGACGAGGCACUACGGUGCUG
rnacentral:rRNA from 1 species